rnacentral:tRNA from 1 species
UGUGGCUCAGUUGGUAGAGCAUGGUGUUUGCAACGCCAGGGUUGUGGGUUUGAUUCCCAGUACAA